UAUGCAGUGGGCCAAGCAGAGAAGAGACACUUCAGGUCUAUGGCUGUAGCUACUGACUGGAAGAAUUUAAGUGAUUUUUGUGAAAUGAAUGUUUAGCCCAUAAAGGAGUUUGGGGACACAGAGACUUAAAGGUUGAUGACAAAAUGAUAGAUCCUCACUUCAAAGUCAGUCUGAGACUGCAGGAAGUUACUCGGAAAUUACAUGCUGGCAAUUAUCCUUCUGGGAUAUUGGGGAUGCUUUGGCUGUCUCCUCUGCGGUUGCCAUCACUGUUUCAGUGUCCAAAUCUUUUUUAUUUUACUCGGAAUUAAACUUUCAGAUCCCACAUAGUGAUUUGAAAAAAAUCACAGUUUGUAUGUCAGAAACACCACACACAUUUACAACUUGCUCCUUACCAUAGGCUCUGUCUACAAAUGGACAUGGGUCAAUUGGAGUAGGACCCAAACAAUGGAUGCAGACCAAAGACCAGCAGUUUGUAUUCUCCCAGCCCAGGGUCCACAAUGCAACAUGUGAGAGCCUCAGCAGAGAAUCCAGCUGGCAGAAUGUGCACAGGCUUUUGGAUCUUAUGAAAACUUCAUCCAUUUCUUCAUUACCCCAUGGCUUCCAGGGAAUACUGCAUUAAAGCAGUGAUUCGAUCUUUAGGGGUGCGACCAUUCAAGAGGCAAAGCAAGUCAGCACAAUUCCUCUUCAGUACUUAAGCAAAAGAAUAUUAAAUUUAGUUGUGUAUUUGUUCGCCUCGUAGAAGAGAACUGCCUUGGUAGGACAGGGGACUCAACAAGGAUGCUGGAGCAGACCAUCACAGCAUUGGCUGAGGUUGCUAACAUCCUUAUACUAAUUAAUUUCCUUUUCUUAACUUUUUUUUUCUUUUUUUUCAGUUUCUAUUUGAAUCAACAUCCAAAGACACAGAAACACAGAAACUGCUAAAGGACAUACUCAAAUUUGAGGUAGAGUCCAAGCCAGGAGGUCAAUGAAAUUCAAGGUGGGGGCAUCCUUGAAUCACCUAUGCCCACGUCAGCUGAGAAGCAGCCAGAGUGCUUCUCCCCUAGGACUGCUGUACUUUGUCCUACAUCAGGCCUUUGCAAGUCACAUCAGAAUGUCCAGAGUUAUCCUCCCACUGCUGCGAGGGUUCACUGCCCCUAUGAAUCAGACACAGCACACAGGCAAAAAAAAUAACGUUGCCAUCCCAACAGCUUGCAGUCAAAAUCAGAGAAGAGAAAAAGCAGAGUGAUAAAACAAACAGAAGAGAAAAGGCAGUUCAAUUGGUAACGUAGCAAUGUUAGGUGAUGUUCCAUAACCCCGAUCUGUAAGGACAGCUCCUGCCCUCACUGCGCAGCCAUUCAGCUCUGAUACCUGUUGAAGCUCCAGAGGCAAAUCAUCUGAACUCUCGGACCACUGAGCUAUCACUGCUGCAGCUAGAGCCAUCAGUGCCAACAUUCUGCCUUCACUGUGGCACAGGGGCGCCAUGUUGGACACUGCCCCACCAGCUGCUCCGCAUUCCUGCAGGGCCACAAUCUCAUCUCUGGGAUGGCAGAAGGACUGGCAAGAACAGUUGGAAGAUUCUGCUUCCUCCACCGCCAUUGUCUUGCGUUGUUCUGCCGACCUGACAAUGUUCUUUUCUUUGCUUUUUAAAUACAAAGCCAUAAAUGCAUAAGGAAUAAAACGCUCUAAUUUAUUCCACAAAAGUGUUCAUCAAGUGAGAGACAGGACUCUGGGAAAAGAUUAAGAGCUUACAUUUUUCAUUUGACUUAUUUCGCAUAAAAUUUCAUAGAGGAUAAAAUGAUGGGAGGCAUAGAAGCAAUGAUAUUUCUGUUUUAUCUCUGUCUAAGGACCAUAAAUCUUUCUGAAGUAUCAUUAAUUAUAGCAGCGCAAUUCACAACGCUAUUGUUAAGGGUCUAUCAGCAGUCCCAUUAUAAACCCCCUAUUUUCAGGGGUUUAUAACUUGGUAAGAAUAAUUUUGUUUCAGGCAAAAACUUUGCUGGGGCAACGCCUCCAUCUAAGAUAAUUUAAAAAAAAAAUUAAAACACAAAAGAAAGUAUUACCUCUUUUGAAUUGAUUAACGGAGAGCCCAGGAACUUUCUAGGGGUAUAAAUCUAAUACUGUAUUGGCUGAUUGAAUCUGUACCAUUUGUGAAGUCAUAAGACUGAAUGCAUUGAAGUUAUCUCUUAGAUGAAUUUAGAUCAUUCCUUUACAAGGAAAGUUUCCAAUUACCAUGGCUGAAUUCAAGAUCUGGACUAUUCCUCUAGUGGCUGUAAUCAAAUCAGAUUUGAUUUCUUCCUUAGCUGAAGCCAGUCAAGAAAGAAUUUAGCAGACCUAGAAAACAGCUUACAUGUUAAGAAUAUUUCAGUGUCUUUGGGUAGCUUGCCUUGUUUUUUUUUCUCUGCUGCAGGCAUGACUUACAUCAAGAAUCAGUGAAGGGCAGUGGUCAUAGCCAACAAAGUGAGUUUUGGCUUAGCAGCAACACAGAAGAUUCACUCUGCCAUGGUUGAGCCACAGUGAAAUGUGCCGAGAGAUGCUCAGUUUCUCCAGAUGCAUGGUGAAAAAUGCUCUUCAGUAGGCAUGAGUGAGACUGGGAGGACACAGGGAAGAAAGGUCACGGCUUACCCUACAGAACAAAAUGACCAGGCAGCCUUUUGCCCGUAGUAACUUGUAGGUUCACCAGGGAAGCCUGAGAGCUCUGCCCAAUUUAGUCCUUGCAGGUUAGGAAAGAGCAAGAUGAAUGUAAU
rnacentral:lncRNA from 1 species